rnacentral:rRNA from 1 species
AUACGGGGGGAGCAGGCGUUGUUCGGAAUCACUGGGCGUAAAGAGAUCGUAGGUGGUUUAUCAAGUCGGAUGUGAAAUCCCGGGGCUCAACCCCGGAACUGCAUUCGAUACUGGUAGACUUGAGUUCGGGAGGGGGAUGCGGAAUUCCGCGUGUAGCAGUGAAAUGCGUAGAUAUGCGGAGGAACACCAGAGGCGAAGGCGGCAUCCUGGACCGAUACUGACACUGAGGAUCGAAAGCGUGGGUAGCAAACAGGAUUAGAUACCCCAGUAGUCC